UACAGAGGUCUCAAGCGUUGUUCGGAUUCAUUGGGCGUAAAGGGUGCGUAGGUGGCGCCGUAAGUCAGGUGUGAAAUUUCGGAGCUUAACUCCGAAACUGCAUUUGAUACUGCGGUGCUUUGAGGACUGGAGAGGAGACUGGAAUUUACGGUGUAGCAGUGAAAAUGCGUAGAGAUCGUAAGGAAGACCAGUGGCGAAGGCGGGUCUCUGGACAGUUCCUGACACUGAGGCACGAAGGCCAGGGGGAGCAAACGGGG
rnacentral:rRNA from 1 species